rnacentral:lncRNA from 1 species
CCAGAAAACAGAAGGAAACCUAAAGAGAGCAGGGCACGCAGCUCCUGCACUGGGCCCUGGGCGCCUCCCUGCGCAGAGGGCAGGACGGGGACCCUGCCGGCACCCCCAGACCCUGGCGCCUCCCGAAGCAGCCCCUGUGGCCGUGGCCUGGGCUACUGGCUCGACAGGCCUUUGAGCCACGGGGGCGGGGGAAGGCGCCAGAAGAAAGGGCAGGAAGGGGCCUGGGGCCCGGAAAGGGGGGCAGCCCCGCAGAGUGACUGCCCUCCCCCCAGGGCUUCCUGUGCUUCUCCCUCGUGUUCUGCGCGCUGGCUCAGGUGGCCUUCUGGAGACUGCGCAGCCCCAGCCAGGUGGAGGACGCCGUGCUGGACGUCUAUGACCUGGUGUACGAGCGGGCGCUGAGGGGCCCACCGGGCAGCGGGAGGCAGGAGCUGGCGGCCGUGCAGGACGCGGUGAGUGGGCAGAGCCAGGGCUGGUCAGCUCCCGCGGGCACUGGGCGGAGCCAAAGCCAGGCGCAGGGCAGGGGUCCUGGACACGGGCCCGCUGCCUCUGCCCCGCCUUGGUCCUUCUGAGAUGGGUCCCUGUCACC